rnacentral:rRNA from 1 species
CGAGUCCGGCAAGCUACGGCUUGUCAGUGAUGGCGAUCAUACUUCCCAGAAAAGCCCGGACUAUCGUAAAUUCUAAAUACUUGUACCCGAAACCGACACAGGUGGGGAUGUUGAGAAAACUAAGGGGCGCGAGAUAACUCUCUCUAAGGAACUCGGCAAAAUGACCCCGUAACUUCGGGAGAAGGGGUGCCACCGCAAGGUGGUCGCAGUAAAGAGGCCCAGGCGACUGUUUACCAAAAACACAGGUCUCCGCCAAGUCGCAAGACGCAGUAUGGGGGCUGACGCCUGCCCAGUGCCGGAAGGUUAAGGAAGUUGGUCAGGAGUAAUCUAAAGCUGACGACUGAAGCCCCGGUGAACGGCGGCCGUAACUAUAACGGUCCUAAGGUAGCGAAAUUCCUUGUCGGGUAAGUUCCGACCCGCACGAAAGGCGUAACGAUCUGGGCACUGUCUCGGAGAGAGACUCGGCGAAAUAGGAUUGUCUGUGAAGAUACGGACUACCUGCACCUGGACAGAAAGACCCUAUGAAGCUUUACUGUAGCCUGGAAUUGGCUUCGGGCUUCGCUUGCGCAGGAUAGGUGGGAGGCGUUGACAUUCCCCUUGUGGGGGGAAUUGAGCCAACGGUGAGAUACCACUCUAGCGAGGCUAGAAGUCUAACUUUCGCCCAUUAUCUGGGGAAAGAACAGUUUCAGGUGGGCAGUUUGACUGGGGCGGUCGCCUCCUAAAUGGUAACGGAGGCGUACAAAGGUUUCCUCAGGCUGGUUGGAAAUCAGCCAUAGAGUGCAAAAGCAGAAGGAAGCUUGACUGCGAGACCUACAAGUCGAGCAGGGACGAAAGUCGGUUUUAGUGUUCCGACGGCGCCGCGUGGAAGGGCCGUCGCUCAACGGAUAAAAGUUACUCUAGGAUAACAGGCUGAUCUCCCCCAAGAGUCCACAUCGACGGGGAGGUUUGGCACCUCGAUGUCGGCUCAUCGCAACCUGGGGCGGAAGUACGUCCCAAGGGUUGGGCUGUUCGCCCAUUAAAGCGGUACGUGAGCUGGGUUCAGAACGUCGUGAGACAGUUCGGUCCAUAUCCGGUGCAGGCGCAAGAGCAUUGAGAGGAGCCUUCCUUAGUACGAGAGGACCGGGAAGGACGCACCACUGGUGUACCUGUUAUCGUGCCAACGGUAGACGCAGGGUAGCCAAGUGCGGAGUGGAUAACCGCUGAAAGCAUCUAAGUGGGAAGCCCACCUCAAGAUGAUUGCUCUCACAGGGUUAACCUGGUAAGGUCACGGGCAGAACACCCGUUAUUAGGCACUAGGUGGAAGUUCAGCAAUGAAUGUAGCCAAGGUGUACUAACAGACCGAGGGCUUGACC